AGGUAUAGUUCUCUCCCAAGCUCUACUGGAUACCAUGAAACAGGAAAGCACACGUGUGAAAACAACAGCCUCUGGCCAGACGCUGAGAGCGAAAGUUCAGGAGACAUCCUCACCCAUGCACAAAACCCACCAGUGGCUGCACACUCUGCCACUACUGAGAAGAUGAGCCCACCAGCCCACGCUCGUUUGAGAACACCCUGCCAUGUUUCUCUCCCUCAGAAAACACACGUGACAGGUGCUCAUUUGGCUGCUCGAGUGCUUUCCUCUGCAAUGACAGCUCCUCGGGCUUACAGGCUGCAGCCUCCAGUUAGAAUUUAUUACUGUUUCCCUUAUUCCCCUGCCUCGGCAGAAAGCAGCACAUAGCACCUACAUCUCGAGGCCUGUGAGAGGUAAUAAAGUACAAUUAUUUUGAA
rnacentral:lncRNA from 1 species